GGGGCUGUAGCUCAGUUGGGAGAGCGUCGCGUUUGCAACGCGAAUGUCGCAGGUUCGAUCCCUGUCAGCUCCAC
rnacentral:tRNA from 1 species